GCGUACACAAGAUGAGGGUGCCUUUCUGCACCAUCGCCAUAUUUUUCUCUUUUCCUCAUUCUCACUGUGGAAGAGCAGAGGAUGAGAGCAUGUUUUCAGUUGUUAAGAUAUCAUUUAAAAUCAACAGACCAAAAGUUGAAACUAGUUGACUCCUUCAAAGAGAGAGGACCUUCAAAAUGAGAGCAGAGCGCAGUGUUAUCCAACGCGAGCUCUUCUUUGCUGCAGGCGGCUCCGUCCCAAACCUCAGCCCUAUCUUGAGUGAACAUCACACAGCCGAGAUGAAAAAGCGGGAAAUCGAUGCAGGGGAGCGCGCGCCAUGUAGAGAGCCUGGCUUUGCUUUGAUCGAAGGCUGACUGACAAGACCUUCAGCCCUGUGAUCUCCGGCAUGAUGAAGGACCGGAGCCGUGGUGGCGCAACAACGUGUGUUUGUUGUAUUUUGUGCGUUGUAGGUUUUGUGUAUUUGUGUACAUGUUUUUGAAAAAAAAAUAUUAGCUUCAAAACCUAGCGAGCCGCCUACGGAGCCGGCAUUUUAAAACUUCAUAGGCGCUCUUCUGACACAAAGUCUUUCUCAAAGGGUCGUCGCAAUUAUGCUGCCGCCUAAGAUACCUUCUUAAGGCCACAUUUUAAAGCGGAAUCACUAUGCUUUGCAUAAAAGACAAAAAAUUAUAAAUAAUAUACAUAAAUAAAAACUGGUUGUUAGUGUUAAAGGAAUAGUCCACCCAAAAAUUCUGUCAUCAUUUACUCAGUUUAAUUGUUUUGGUUCCCAUUGACUUCCAUUGUAUGGGCAAAAAUACUGUAGAAGUCAAUGGGAACCAAAACUGUUUGGUUACGAGCUUUUGUUGUUUUUUUUUUUGUUUUAUAAUAUCUUCUUUUGCGCUGAGCAGAAGAAUGAAAUGCAUACAGGUUUUGAACAACAUGAGGUUGAGUAAAUGACAGAUUUGAUCACUUUAACUAAAAAACUAUUAAAAUGAUUAAAAAUGUAAAUAAAGCUAAAAUAAAAUAUAAAUAUUAGGUGAAAAACAAACUUUAAAAAACAAAAAUUUGAAAUUAUGCCUUGGCUACUAACUGAAAUUAAAUAAGUUGAAGUUGAAGUAAAUUUAAUACAACUAAAAUUGAAAAUAUAAAUAAAUGAAAGCUAAAUUGGAAUUUAAAUAAAAAACUAGAUUUCUAAAACAAACAAGUUAAAAUGCGAACUGAAAAUAUAAAAUAAAAGCUAAUUUAAAAUACUAAUAUUUAUAUACUGUAAUAGUAUAUAAAUAAUACUAAAAAACAUGAAAAUUAAUCCAAAACUGGUGUAUGAGCUGAAAGAUAUUUUGAUUAUAAAUUAGCUUAUAGUUAAAUGAAAUUAAAAAAAAAUAUGCCUAUUAGCAAUUUACACUGCUUAGCAACAUGCUAAUGUCAAACUUUUGAAAUCAAUCGGCGGUUCUCCAGUUCAGAGUGCUGUUUGUGUUGCUUCUCUGCUGGGGAGUAGAUAUUGAGGCAGCUAGUCAGGUUUUGGAAUGCUUUAUUGUUUAGCCUGCAUAACAAAAAAUGUGUACACAAACACACAACUGGCACAGCCAGGCGGGUCAGGACAAGCCUGUACUCUCUCCUCUUGCCUUCCCUUUUCAGACAAGUACAGAGGGGGUGUGAGACAGAGGGCUCUGUCUGCAUCUAAAGCCUGCUGGGAAAGGCUGUACUCUCAUCUCCCACACAGCAGAAUGCAUAUGCACCAAAAUCCUCUUCACUUUAAAACAACCUUCCCCUUCAGCCUCCUCUGGUACUCCCGACGGGUCAUCACAUGAAGCGUGUCCUCUGGUCUACCUUUGCUGGGGAUGGUGACCUUCACAGAGGCUUGAGAGAUGCCUCGGACCAGAGCAUUGUGGGUACUCUAAGACUGAGUGACAUACACAGCAUGGAAGCACUGGCGAGGAGCUUUGCUGAACCUUGUGAUCCAUGUCACUGCCUCAAUGGGACACACACACCCGAUAUAAAUCCACUGACAUUACAGCGGAUUGAUGUUUAUAUACAAGAGUUUUCAGCUGAAAAGCUGCAUUACCACUGAAAGAGUGACCAUAAUGCAUUGUGGUUCAGAAGAUUCAUGUCUCUCUCUUCUGUGAUUUUUUACCUUCUGCCAAGCUUAAAGAAUGAAAUGAGAGAUUGUAGAUUACUGUAGAUGUCAGAUUUUGCUCCAGCACGCUAAAUUAACAGCUAAAGUAAACACUGUAAAGCUGAAUUGUGUAAUUUCUGUGCCAUUACUGGCAACAAAUAGAAUGGAAAAAGAUUACUCAUAAACACAUGUAUUUUUAAUUAUAUAAUGAUAUGUUUUUAUAAUUUUUUUAUUACACUACUGCUCUACAAUGGUGGGGUCAGUAAAAUUUUUUUGUGUCUCAUGCUCACCAAGGCUGCAUUUAUUUGAUCAAAAAUACAGUAAAAAUAGUAAUAUUGUGAUAUAAUAAAUAUAUGAUUACAAUUUAAAAUAACUCAAUUCUGUUUUCAUACAUUUUGAAAGGUCAUUUAUUCCUGUAAUGGCAAAGCUGAAUUUUCAGCAGUCAUUGUUUCAGUUUCCAGUGUCACAUGAUCCUUCAGAAAUUAUUCUUAUAUGCGAAUUUGGUGCUCAAAAAAAUUCUUAUGAUUAUCAAUUUUAAAAUGGUUAUGCUACUUGAUAUUUUUGUGGAAACUGUGAUAGCAUUUUUUUUUUCAGGAAUGAUGCA
ensembl:lncRNA